rnacentral:tRNA from 1 species
CUUCUCGUGGUGUAGGGGUAACGCGCCCUGUCUAGUGAACAGGAGGUUGUGAGUUAGAUUCUCACCGAGAAGA